rnacentral:lncRNA from 1 species
CUUCACCCCCAGGAUCCGGUUUGACUGCACCAGUGAGAUCAGGAACUGAAUGAGCUGUGGAGAGAGAGGACACAGUUACCCCGGCCCUUGUGGGGCCCCCGCCGGCCCUCUGGCCCUGCCCCCACCUUGUUGACGACUUUCUGUUGCUGGGCAUGCUUCUGCCGAAGGCUGGCCACCUCCCGCCACAGAGCCUCAUUCUCACUGCAACAGACCAGGCUGGG